UAGGGAAUCUUCGGCAAUGGACGAAAGUCUGACCGAGCAACGCCGCGUGAGUGAAGAAGGUUUUCGGAUCGUAAAACUCUGUUGUUAGAGAAGAACAAGGACGUUAGUAACUGAACGUCCCCUGACGGUAUCUAACCAGAAAGCCACGGCUAACUACGUGCCAGCAGCCGCGGUAAUACGUAGGUGGCAAGCGUUGUCCGGAUUUAUUGGGCGUAAAGCGAGCGCAGGCGGUUUCUUAAGUCUGAUGUGAAAGCCCCCGGCUCAACCGGGGAGGGUCAUUGGAAACUGGGAGACUUGAGUGCAGAAGAGGGGAGUGGAAUUCCAUGUGUAGCGGUGAAAUGCGUAGAUAUAUGGAGGAACACCAGUGGCGAAGGCGGCUCUCUGGUCUGUAACUGACGCUGAGGCACGAAAGCGUGGGGAGCAAACAGG
rnacentral:rRNA from 1 species